rnacentral:rRNA from 1 species
CCCUUAGAUGUUCUGGGCUGCACGCGCGCUACACUGAUGCACUCAACGAGUUUACGACCUUGCCCGAUAGGGUUGGGUAAUCUUUUUAAAAUGCAUCGUGAUGGGGAUGGAUUAUUGCAAUUAUUAAUCUUCAACGAGGAAUUCCUAGUAAGCGCGAGUCAUCAGCUCGUGCUGAUUACAUCCCUGCCCUUUGUACACACCGCCCGUCGCUCCUACCGAUUGAGUGCUCAGGUGAAUAAUUCGGACUGCAGCAAUGUUUGGAUCCCGAACGUUGCAGCGGAAAGUUUAGUGAACCUUAUCACUUAGAGGAAGGAGAAGUCGUAACA